UACAGAGGUGGCAAGCGUUGUUCGGAGUUACUGGGCGUAAAGGGCGCGUAGGCGGUCUUGUAAGUCUCGUGUGAAAUCCCUCGGCUUAACUGAGGAACUGCACGGGAUACUGCAUGACUUGAGAUCGGGAGAGGGAAGCGGAAUUCCGGGUGUAGCGGUGAAAUGCGUAGAUAUCCGGAGGAACACCGGUGGCGAAGGCGGCUUCCUGGACCGACACUGACGCUGAGGCGCGAAAGCUAGGGGAGCAAACGGG
rnacentral:rRNA from 1 species